GGGAAAGUGGCUCAGUGGUAGAGUGCUUGCCUUGCAAGCAUGAGGCCGUGGGUUCAAUUCCUCAGCACCA
rnacentral:tRNA from 1 species